UUGAAGUUCAUCAAGUAGAGCUUAUUGUUUCUACGACCUGUCCAGGAGUUAGGCUCAUGUACGCCGUGCAAGCAAGCAGAGGGUGAGCUUAAAGCAACCCUGAAGUAAGAAGCACUUAGUUCAAUAGUUGGAGAGUUCAAAUCGACUUAAUAUACAUGGAUACUUGGAUAGAGUUAAGUGGAUGGGAUAGAUAGACUUAUAUUUGUUGAUUCUUUCUUCUGUUGGCACAAACUGAUGGUGCCACUAGAUGAUAAGUAGUCCGUCUGUUGUUGUUACUGUCUUGCUAAAGACAUGGACAAUCGGUACGUGCAUCACAACAUGCUAUCCUUUGUGGAACAUGGUCACUAUGGAUAGCAACAAACAAGAAAAGGCAUUGGGAGAAAAAAUGAUAGAAACACAGAUUGUAGUUUUCUAGGUAUGAGAUGCAGUCAUGAACUUGGUUAGUGAGUCAUGACACAAGGUGGCAACAACGCUUAUGAAUAACAAGUAUUAAAGCGAACUGUUCUGAUGCAUAUUUUCUCAACAUUUUCAAUAUCACGAUGCAGAAAUGGGUGGUUCCUUUGCGCACCAGAAAUUUGGGAAAGUCCCUGAAUGGCCAGUUGAGCCUUAAUGAUCUCAGCUACACUGGUCCAGCUCGUCGUGGUGAUGUGAAAUGUCAAUCGAAGAAAAGAAAAUUACUGAAAAUAGCUACACUGGAAAGAAAGGCAAGUGAUUUUGUGGCUAUUAAGAAUGCUACAAUGGAGAUACUAGGAGUAAAAUGUGCAAUGGAGCUCCCUAAUGAUGUUCAAAUGCUCUUACAUCUUCUAUCAAAUUAUAAGGAUGAGGAUGAGAUCCUUAUUGAAACUCAUCCACUGCUGGUGAUAGAGAAAGAGAAAAUAAGCCUCUUCAAUGACAUGUAUACACAUGUGGAAAUUCUGGGAAAGAAAGAUCAAGCAAAAGACAUCAGAAUUAAACAACAUACCUUAUGGCAAUGGGGCUUGGAAAAUAAGAAUCCAGAGGAAUGCAUAUCUCGAUGCAAUCGACCGUCACAAGAAUAGGAUGAGUUCCUACCAAGACAGCCAAGAUGGCAUCCUAUUGCUGCACCGUAACGCAAUUCAACACCUUCCCAAGGACUACUCAGUGGUUGUGGUGCACGGAAAGGUGCAGGUUUUUUUUGAAGUUCAUCAAGUAGAGCUUAUUGUUUCUACGACCUGUCCAGGAGUUAGGCUCAUGUACGCCGUGCAAGCAAGCAGAGGGUGAGCUUAAAGCAACCCUGAAGUAAGAAGCACUUAGUUCAAUAGUUGGAGAGUUCAAAUCGACUUAAUAUACAUGGAUACUUGGAUAGAGUUAAGUGGAUGGGAUAGAUAGACUUAUAUUUGUUGAUUCUUUCUUCUGUUGGCACAAACUGAUGGUGCCACUAGAUGAUAAGUAGUGCGUCUAUUGUUGUUACUGUCUUGCUAAAGACAUGGACAAUCGGUACGUGCAUCACAACAUGCUAUACUUUGUGGAACAGGGUCACUGUGGAUAGCAAUAAACAAGAAAAGGCAUUGGGAGAAAAUGAUAGCAACACAGAUUGUAGUUUUCUGGGUAUGAGAUGCAGUUAUGAACUUGGUUAGUGAGUCAAGACACAAGGUGGCAACAACGCUUAUGAAUAACAAGUUUUAAAGCGAACAGUUCUGAUGCAUAUUUUUUCCACAUUUUCGAUAUCACGAUGCAGGAAUGGGUGGUUCCUUUGCGCACCAGAAAGUUGGGAAAGUCCCUGAAUGGCCAGUUGAGCCUUAAUGAUCUCAGCAACACUGGUCCAGCUCAUCGUGGUGAUGUGAAAUGUCAACCGAAGAAAAGUAAAUUACUGAAAAGAGCUACACCAGAAAGAAAGGCAAAUGAUUUUGUGGUUAUUAAGAAUGCUGCAAUGGAGAUAGUGGGAGUAAAAUGUGCAAUGGAGCUCCCUAAUGAUAUUCAAAUGCUCUUCCAUCUUCUAUCAAACUAGAAAGAUGGGGAUGAAAUCCUUAUUGAAAGUCAUCCACGGCUGGUGACAGAGAAAGACAAAAUAAGCAUCUUCAUUGACAUGUAUACACAUGUGGAAAUUCUGGGAAAGAAAGAUCAAGCAAAAGACAUCAGAAUUAAACAACAUACCUUAUGGCAAUGCGGCUUGGAAAACAAGAAUCCAGAGGAAUGCAUAUCUAGAUGCAACACCAAGAUGAGUUCCUACCAAGACAGCCAAGAUGGCAUCCUAUUGCUGCACCGUAAUGCAAUUCAACACCUUCCCAAGGACUACUCAGUGGUUGUGGUGCACGGAAAGGUGCAGGUUUUGUUUGAAGUUCAUCAAGUAGAGCAUAUUGUUUCUACGACCUGUCCAAGAGUUAGGCUCAUGUACGCCCUAGAAGCAAGCAGAGGGUGAGCUUAAAGCAACCCUGAAGUAAGAAGCACCUAGUUCAAUAGUUGGAGAGUUCAAGUCGACUUACUAUACAUGGAUACUUGGAUAGAGUUAAGUGGAUGGGAUAGAUAGGCUUAUACUUGUUGAUUCUUUCUUCUGUUGGCAUCAACUGAUGGUGCCACUAGAUGAUAAGUAGUUUGUCUGUUUUUGCUGCUUUCUUGCUAAAGACAUGGACAACCGGCACGUGCAUCACAACAUGCCAUACUUUGUUGAACAUGGUCACUGUGGAUAGCAAUAAACAAGAAAAGGCAUUGGGAGAAAAUGAUAGAAACACAGAUUGUAGUUUUCUGGGUAUGAGAUGCAGUCAUGAACUUGGUUAGUGAGUCAUGACACAAGGUGGCAACAACGCUUAUGAAUAACAAGUUUUAAAGCGAACUGUUCUUAUGCAUAUUUUUUCCACAUUUUCAAUAUCACGAUGCAGAAAUGGGUGGUUCCUUUGCGCACCAGAAAGUUGGGAAAGUCCCUGAAUGGCCAGUUGAGCCUUAAUGAUCUCAGC
rnacentral:lncRNA from 1 species